CUUGCAUGCUCUGAAGUGGGAGCCCAAGAGUAAAUUUAAAGAAAAUAUCGAGAAGGACAAAGAACUUAAGAGUUGAGCUACCAUUCAACAGGGCAAUCCCACUACUGGGUAUAUACCCAAAGGAAAAUAAAUCAUUUAACUAAAAGGACACAUGGACCUGUACGUUCAUUGCAGUACUAUUCACAAUAGUACUCCAUGGAUGCAGCUGGAGGCCAUUAUCUUAAGUGAACUAAUACAGAAACGAAAUCAAAUACUUCAUGUUCUUAUUUAUGAGUGGAAGCUAAACCUUGGGUACAUAUGGAUGUAAAGAUGGAACCAAUAGACAAUGGAAACUGCUAGAGCGUGAAGAGAAGAAGUAGGGGAAAGACUGAAAAACUACCUAUUGGGUACCAUGCUCGCUACCUGGAUGACGGCUUUGAUCAUACCCCAAACCUUGCACCACAUAAAUGCCCAUAUACCAAACCUGCACAUGUACCCCUGAUUCUAAGAUAAAAGAUGAAAAAACAUUAAUUGUAAUAAACUGAUUCACUGUUCAAUUUAUGCUCUAUGCCUUGCAACAAAAGGUUUGUAGACAUGAAAGAAAGGAGAUAUUACAGUUUUGAUCUUGUUAGAGACAAGGAAGCAUCACUGUUUUGGAGGAAAGGUGAUUCCCUGACAUAGCCAUAGCCACAUGUCUGUUAAUAGGUAAGCC
rnacentral:lncRNA from 10 species